GUUGGAAGAGGAGGAAUUGUGAUUACUUCCAGGUUGCAGGAUGCUUCAGCUAUGUGUGUACAUAGAGAAAACUGGCAGAAGAAAGGGAAGAUUAAAUGAACAUUUAAAAAAUUAUGGCGAAGUGUACAGAAGAUACAAAUAGUCAACCGUUUUUGGGGGGAAAGAGGUGUUGGAGAUUGAACCCAGGGAUGCUCUACCAUUGAGCUACAUGCUAUCCUUAGCCUUUUUUGCUUAAUUUUUUUUGAGACAGGGUUGCCCACGAUGGCCUUGAACUUAGAACUCCCUGUAGGGGAGGGGCAAUCCCUGGGACAGGUUACCAUAGCAACAGGUUGGAGCAGGGCAGGUUAUCUCGAUAAGGGUGGAGGAAGGGCUCUGAAGGCAUUUCAGUUCCCCAGGGGGCAGUCUCCAAAUUCCUAGACUUAAACAGGUCUUGAUCAGACCUGACUCAAUUUACCUGUCUAUAUUGACUGCCUGUCUGAUUCUAGCUUCACAGGCAUUUCUCCCAUCUUCCAAGCAGGAACAAGUUGAAAUGGCACAGAGGCAUAUAUCACCUGAGGAAGCAGUUUGUUUCCCAUAAUUUCCCACAGAGAACACUUUGUUUUCUCCUCAUGAGCCAGGAGGGUUUUCCUGGUCACGUUUUGUUGCAGUGAAAUUGGAAUCAGGGAUUGAUACCAGGAGGGUUCAACCACUGAGCUACAUCCCC
rnacentral:lncRNA from 1 species